UACGUAGGGUGCGAGCGUUAAUCGGAAUUACUGGGCGUAAAGCGUGCGCAGGCGGUUCGUUGUGUCUGAUGUGAAAGCCCCGGGCUUAACCUGGGAAUGGCAUUGGAAACUGGCGAGCUGGAGUGUGGCAGAGGGGGGUGGAAUUCCGCGUGUAGCAGUGAAAUGCGUAGAGAUGCGGAGGAACACCGAUGGCGAAGGCAAUCCCCUGGGCCUGCACUGACGCUCAUGCACGAAAGCGUGGGGAGCAAACGGG
rnacentral:rRNA from 1 species